UACGUAUGGGGCAAGCGUUAUCCGGAUUUACUGGGUGUAAAGGGAGCGUAGGCGGUACGGCAAGUCAGAAGUGAAAGCCUGGGGCUCAACCCCGGAAUUGCUUUUGAAACUGUCGAACUAGAGUGUCGGAGGGGUAAGCGGAAUUCCUAGUGUAGCGGUGAAAUGCGUAGAUAUUAGGAGGAACACCGGUGGCGAAGGCGGCUUACUGGACGACUACUGACGCUGAGGCUCGAAAGCGUGGGGAGCAAACAGG
rnacentral:rRNA from 1 species